GCUGGGUUCAGAACGUCGUGAGACAGUUCGGUCCCUAUCCGUCGUGGGCGCAGGAAAUUUGAGAGGAUCUGUCCUUAGUACGAGAGGACCGGGAUGGACAUACCUCUGGUGUACCAGUUGUUCUGCCAAGAGCACCGCUGGGUAGCUACGUAUGGAUUAGAUAAUCGCUGAAAGCAUCUAAGUGAGAAACUAACCUCGAGAUGAGAUUUCCCAUUCGUCAGAAGUAAGACCCCUGAGAGACGAUCAGGUAGAUAGGCUAGAAGUGGAAGUGUAGUGAUGCAUGGAGCGGACUAGUACUAAUAGGUCGAGGACUUAACCAAG
rnacentral:rRNA from 1 species